UUUUAGAAAAUUCUGCAAAUUUCAUGCAUUUAUUAUUUUCAAUAUUAACAUUUCAUUGAAUGUCCUUAACCUUUAUUUGAUUCAUUUUUAUUUUUUAUUUUGUGCAAGAACAUUUCGUGUAAAUCUAUGUGUUACUAUACUAAAUAUUAUGAUGUAUAUAUUUAACAUUUCUGUAGAAAUUUCGCAUUUGACGAAAAAUGAUGUUCUAAAUUUAACGUGCAAAUUCGCACUAUACCUAUAAAAACUUACAUUUAAUUGUUUUACUUAAAUUAAAUUGCAAUAACAUUUUAGACGUACUCAUUCAAACUUAUUAUUCUCAUGCGUGGAACGUUGCAUCUGAUAAAGGGAGCGAUGAAUUUGAUAAACGAAACGUUGCAUCUGAUAAAUGGAGCGAUGAAUUUCAUAAACGGAACGUUGCAUCUAAUAAAGGGAGCGAUGCAAUUGAUAAAGGGAGCGGUGCAUUUUAUAAAAUUCUAUCAAGUGAUCAAACUAAUGUCACCUCCGUCAAAAGGAUUCGUCGUUCAGUAUUAGAGUCAUUUAAAGUUGAUGAUAUGCUAGAAUGGCUUCACUGUGAGCAUUCAAAAUAUUUUAACGCCUGGAACGCGACAUUUGACCAAGACAUUUGACCAAUGGAUCAUUUGUUCAAAACAUUUUGAUGAUUUUCCAGAAUUCUGUGAAUGGGCUACAUUUUUUGCGUAUGAAGAAGAGUGGGGACGAAAUUGAACGGACUCGCAUUAUAGACAAACGGAAUAAUUUCUUUGUUCUUUCUUUUCUUUUGAUGUUUUAGUGUAAUACCGGUAUAUGACUUGCAUGCAUUUAUUUUGUGUAUAGAAUCCUGAUUUACUUAUUAUGCUAUAACUCAGUAUAAAAGCUAUGGCACACUGUUAGAGCUUUUGCUCAUUAUAAGAGCUUUUCUUCAGUUUUUACACGCUGAAAGAGCUUUUGCAAAGUUUUAGAGCAAUUUUGGGAUCUUGCUCGGUGCUUGAGCUGUUGCACAUUAUUUAAGCUAUUGCACAGUGAUAAAGGUCUAUCACACUGUAGGAACUCUUAGUGUUAGAGCUAUCACACAGGGCUAGAAACAUUUUCGUCAUAUGCAUUUCAUGUUUUGUGCACACCAGAACCGGGAAGGAAAGAAUAUCUCCACGAAAACUUUAAAAAAUCAUUGAAUUUUUAUAUAAAUGUUAAAAACAAUUGAAAAAUUACCCCUGAGAUUGACCUAUUUUCUCCUUCACAUAUGGAGUUAUUGCGCAUAUCUGGAUGAGCGAAAAUUCACAUAUUUUUUUUUAUUUUGAGAUCCAUAUGGGGUUCCAGCUCCAAGAUAAACAUAAUUUUAUUAUUAGGCAAGGAAACUUAACGCAUAACGAUGAAACAGACAACACCUGAACAAUUCCAUAAAAACUAAAAUAUCUUGUGGUGUUCAAACUUGUAGUGGACUUUUCUAGUGCCAGCAAUACUUUGAUUAUUGUUUAUUAUUAUUAAUUUUAUUGGUUGUUGUUGUAGUUGUAGUUUGUUUUUCAGCUCUUAUGCGAUAUAAUUAAGCAGAGACUUGUAUAAAUUGAACGAAUGUUGAGGUCUUUUUGUUUUCUUCAGAAGCUAAUUAGAGUGCCAUUUUAAACUGAACUACAAGUUGUAGUUAUAUUUAUGUAUAUCUGAGUACAAAAGCAGUUUGUUAGGUUCAGCUGUUUUUAAUGAAUUUGUCGUAGUGUCAUUGUUUAUUGUUAACAAGAGUUAUAAUACAUGUUUUAUUAUAUAUUUAUUUUGUCAAGAUAAUGUACAAAUAA